ACUUAAAUAGCUUAAUGUAAAGCGUAGUUUUGAAGCAGCUAAAAUGAUCUAAAUCUUUAAGUG
rnacentral:tRNA from 1 species